UUCUCCUUGGAUCCUUAAAUUUUUCUUUUUUUUAUUUGUUUAUUUUUUUCAUUGAUUUUUUCUAUUUUUUCUCUUAUUCUCGGACCUCCUUAUUUAUAAGUGAAUUUUUUAUCUUUUUUUGAUAGUAAAAUGAGUCCUAAAAUCUCUUAAAAUUGUGUUAAACCCGUGUCCCUUAAUUCUGACUGUUGGAUCUUUUUUGGACCGUCCAGAUCAGUCCAAAAAUCAUCGUUAAACUCUUCAUCAUAGUCGGGAUCAAUGAUAGCUGUUGGAUCACACGAUUGAUUAAAUUUGGGCCAUUGAUCAGCACAUCGGAUUUCCUAUUCACAGUCAGGAUCGCAUC
rnacentral:lncRNA from 1 species